GGAGAGGUGGCCGAGAGGUCGAAGGCGAUAGACUCGAAAUCUAUUGUACCCCUUGGGUACCGUGGGUUCGAAUCCCACCCUCUCCG
rnacentral:tRNA from 1 species